GAAGUGGUUCAGUGGUAGAGCACUUGCCUAAUACGUAUGAGACACUGGGUUUGAUCCCCAGUACUGCA
rnacentral:tRNA from 1 species